CCUACGGGAGGCAGCAGUGAGGAAUAUUGGUCAAUGGGCGGAAGCCUGAACCAGCCAAGUCGCGUGAAGGAAUAAGGCCCUACGGGUCGUAAACCUCUUUUGCCGGGGAGCAAGGGCGGGGACGUGUCCCGGCCCGGAGAGUACCCGGAGAAAAAGCAUGGGCAAACCCGGUGCAGGCAGCCGGGGAAACACGGAGGAUGCAAGGGUUAUCCGGUUUUUUGGGGUUUAAGGGGUGCGUGGCGGUGCUUUUAGGUCAGCGGGAAAAAUUGGGGGGUAAACCCCGACCGGCCUUUGAAACUGGGGGCCUUGAGUGUACUUGAAGUAGGCGGAAUGCGUGGUGUAGCGGUGAAAUGCAUAGAGAUCACGCAGAACCCCGAUUGCGAAGGCAGCCUUCCGGCGCCCUACUGACGCUGAGGCACGAAAGUGCGGGGAUCAAACAGGAUUAGAUACCCGGGUAGUC
rnacentral:rRNA from 1 species